AUUCAUUUGUGAACUUCUAUCCGAAGGUCGACCGCGCGGCACUACAGCCGCUGCCUUUUCCGCGUAAGCGGACUGAAUAAUCUCGUCCAUCAGCUCGUGGGGUAUGUCCUGUGGGACCACCGCCGGAGACGGGCAGUUCUCGCACUGCUUCGGGCAACACCUUCGAGCGCAAAAGAGAAAAAUAUUCUGCCAACGCUCCCAGCUCUCUCUGCCUCUCAAGACAUGAUCAAACGCGACUCAUGAUGCAUCCAAGUUCGCUCUCUCGAAGGACGUCGCAAUUGUUCGCGAGAGGGAGAGAGAGAAGCACUGAAUCGAUUAUAUGCGUCUGUGGAGCUUUAAUUGAUUAUGGGACGUACUUCGGACACCUUACGCUAGUCGAUUUGCCGGACGAUGGCAUAUCACCUCCUCCCCGUGAUCACGAUGACUCCACAAGUACAGAGCGAGCCUAUUUCUCUGGGUUAUGUUCGCUGACUGGAGAGAAAUUCUGCUGUUUGUGAUUCCUCGUCACGCGAGAGGUGGAAAGGGAGACGCGGAUGAUGCUGUCGCAUGAGAAUAACUGCCGAUAGUCCGAAAGUAAUUAUCGAUAAGUAUUCGUAUAAGUCAGAUAUCGGGUAUCUCUUAUUGGAAUAUAUAAGAAUUUCAUUGUUGUUCAAAUUGAAAGUAUUCAUUUACCAUAAAAAAGUAUACAAAUCCA